rnacentral:rRNA from 1 species
AUGUUGGGUUAAGUCCCGCAACGAGCGCAACCCUCAUCCUUAGUUGCCAUCAGGUAAUGCUGAGUACUUUAAGGAAACUGCCAGUGAUAAGCUGGAGGAAGGUGGGGAUGAUGUCAAGUCAUCAUGGCCUUUAUGGAGUGGGCUACACACGUGCUACAAUGGUGUCUACAAUGGGCUGCAAGGUGCGCAAGCCUAAGCUAAUCCCUAAAAGACAUCUCAGUUCGGAUUGCACUCUGCCACUCG